rnacentral:rRNA from 1 species
UACGAAGGGUGCAAGCGUUACUCGGAAUUACUGGGCGUAAAGCGUGCGUAGGUGGUGAGUUAAGUCUGUCGUGAAAGCCCCGGGCUCAACCUGGGAAUGGCGAUGGAUACUGGCUCGCUAGAGUGCGGUAGAGGAGAGUGGAAUUCCCGGUGUAGCAGUGAAAUGCGCAGAUAUCAGGAGGAAUACCGAUGGCGAAGGCAGGUCUCUGGGCUGACACUGACGCUCAUGCACGAAAGCGUGGGGAGCAAACAGG